rnacentral:lncRNA from 1 species
ACUCAACACCGCAAGAUUUCAAAAGGGAAAUUCCUCCAGGGCUGAGUCACAGGGAAGAAAGCGAUUUCCUCCGCCUCUUCCAAAGCGGCCCCUUUGGUGCCAGUCUGCUGGAGUUUGCUGGAGGUCCACUCCUGACCCUGUUUGCCUGGGUAUCACCAGCAGAGGCUGCAAAGCAGCAAAGAUUGCUGCCUGUUCUUUCUUCUAGAAGCUUCGACCCAGUGGGGCACCUGUCAGAUGCCAGCCAGAGCUCUCCUGUAUCAGGUGUCUGUCGGUCCAAGCUAGAAGAAUUGCUUUCCUGUAGAGGAGAAGGAUUGAGACAUGACCUUUGGUGAAACUGAAGCUAUAACUUGAAUAAUAUUCGUUAAUCUGGGGAGAAUAAAAUUUUGAAAGAAGAAAUUUAAUUUUGAUGCUCUUCUUUAAAACCAAGGGCUCCACAUUGUCUGUAAGAUAAAUAAUUAAAGCUUUAUUUACUAUGGCAUUCAAGGGACUUCUCAAUUGGGCCCCAAUCUACUUUUCUGAUAUCAUUUCUGAUACUACUUUUCACUUAUAGUCCAGCAAGGCCUGUCCACUCACUCUCGUUAGACCCUUCAUGCUGUCCUACCUCUGGGCAUUGGCUCAUAUUCACUCCUUGGAAUAGACUUGAUUUCACCUUUUAAAAUCCACUUUUAUUUGCUUCAUCUAACUUAUGACUUCUUCAAAGCAGAUCAAAUAUCAUCUUUUUGUGAAGUAUCCCAGCACUCUAUUAGGGUGAAAUUAUCAUUCCUCCUGUAAUAUUUUGUUCCUAAGCUGUUUGUUACUGUAUAUGAUAGUUGUUUACUUUUUUCCUCUUAAGACUGAGAUUCUUUCAGUAAUUUUUGAAUGAUUUUCAUGAACCAGCUAAGCUUAACUCUGGAGAAACAAAGACGAAAAACAUCUGGUUUCUCACCUCCAGGUGCACAGAAUCUAGUAAAGCGGGUAAACGUAUAAACAGAGAAUAAUUGAGGUAUAUAAAAGUGGUUUGGGAACUGUGUGGAGGGCAGUCUCCCUUAGUAGGUGUUUAGGAAGACUUUACAAAUGAGAUGACAUUUGACCUGAAUCGCAAAUAAGUAGGAGCUUGUCGGAUGGAUAAAAGGUAGAAUGUGAGUCCUUUUAACACCUAGUCAAAAGUGAUUGGAUGGUGGUUAGUUUUAAUGUAAUUUUUCUUAUUUAGUGUAUGAAGAUGUCCAUAAGUUACAAAGCAGUGUGGUUUCAUCAGAAUUGCCACUGGACCACAGGGUACUUCAUAUGAUAAAGAAGAUGUUUCUUUCCACAGUCAUUCAGUCCACCAUUGAAUAGAUCUGAAAGGUGUAAAGUUCACUGAUAUGCAUCUGAUUUCUUUUUUUCUUUUUUUUUUUUGAGACAGAGUCUUGCUCUGUCACCCAGGCUGGAGUGCAGUGGUGUGGUCUCGACUCACUGCAAGCUCCACCUCCCAGGCUCACGCCAUUCUCCUGCCUCAGCCUGUCAUGUAGCUGGGACUACAGGUGCUUGCCACCAUGCCUGGCUAAUUUUUUUUUUUUUUUUUGUAUUUUUAGUAGAGAUGGGGUUUCACUGUGUUAGUCAGGAUGGUCUCGAUCUCCUGACCUCGUGAUCCGCCUGCCUUGGCCUCCCAAAGUGCUGGGAUUCCAGGCGUGAGCCACCCCACCCGGCCCAUUUUUUUCUUUUCAACUUUUCUUAGGCUGGACAGACACAUUUCAGUGAUUGGCAAAGCACCUCAUUAAACUUGGCUGCUAUAAUUUUUCUUCUUUUUUCAUCUCAUUUUCUAUUCUCUCAUUUUAUUUUUGCCUUUGUUUAAUCUACUCUUUGUUGGUUUGGAAGUUCCUUCUGUUUUUAGCUGAUAAAAAUCUACGACUAAUCUCAGAUAAUUUUAUUAUUUUUCGUUAGUCAUUUUGCUAUUCAGGGGUGUUUUCUUUUUUUAAAAAAAUAGACUUAAUAGACUUAAAUAGAUAGUUAUUAUUUGGAAUGGACUACAUCCAAACAAUUAUGAGGAACAAUUGUGAGGAACUCAGUUCCAGAAACUUUUGUAUCCAGUAACUGAUAAAUAGAUAAGUAAUGUACUAAUGGAAAAAACUCGAUCAAAUAAUAAACCAAAGUCAAUCUUUUUUUUUUUUUUUUCCCCUAAGAUGGAGUCUUGCUCUCUUGCCCAGGCUGGAGUGCAAUGGCGUGAUCUUGGCUCACUGCAACCUCUGCCUCCUGGGUUCAAACAAUUCUUCUGCCUCAGCCUCCCAAGUAGCUGGGAUUACAGGCGUGCACCACCACACCCGUCUAAUUUUUGUAUUUUAGUAGAGAUGGGGUUUCACCAUGUUGGCCAGGCUGGUCUCGAACUCCUGAUCUUGUGAUCUGCCCACCUUGGCCUCCCAAAGUGCUGGGAUCACAGGCGUGAGACACUGUGCCCUGCCAAAAAUUUUUUUUUUUUGAGACAGAGUCUCGCUCUGUCAUCCAGGCUGGAAUGCAGUGGUGCGAUCUCAGCUCACUGCAAGCUCAACCUCCCGGGUUCACGCCAUUCUCCUGCCUCAGCCUCCUGAGUAGCUGGGACCAAAGACCCCUGCCACCACGCCCGGCUAAUUUUUUUGUAUGUUUAGUAGAGACAAGGUUUCACCGUGUUAGCCAGGAUGAUCUCAAUCUCUUGACCUUGUGAUCGCCCAUCUCGGCCUCCCAAAGUGCUGGGAUUACAGGCGUGAGCCACCGCGCCCAGCCCAAAGUCAAUGUUUUGACCAAGAGCAAGGCUACCACUUGUUAUUAUUAAUUAAUUAAUUAAUUAAUUAAUUUUUGAGACAGGGUCUUACUAUAUUGCCUAGGCUGGCUUCAAACUCCCAGGCUCAAGUGAUCCUCCUGCCCUGCCUCCUGAGUAGCUGGAAUUACAGGUGUGUGGCGCCAUGCCUUACUAUUUAUUUCUAAACACAUUGCAGAACAUGGAAUUUAGGGAGGACAAAUUUUGAUGAAUCAAAUAGGUAUAGUGAUAUGGGUAGAAGAUUGGUUUACUUUAUCAUAAUUCCUUAAAUACAUAUUGUGUACUUGAUUAAUGAAAUGUUAAAAAUAAAUGCUUAGAUAUCAUUUGACAUUAAAUAACUCAAUCACUAAGCAUGAACUCCAUAUUUAAAAACUUUAUAAAAUUUUCAGAGCUCACACAGACAAAAUUCCUUAUUGUCAUGAUCACUACGUAUAAGUUUGAGUUCUUUCUUACUUUUUUUUUUUGAGACAGAGUUUCGCUCUUGUCGCCCGGGCUGGAGUGCAAUGGCGUGACUUCGACUCACUGCAACCUCUGUCUCCUGAGUUCAAGCGAUUCUUCUGCCUCAGCCUCCCGAAGUAGCUGGGAUUACAGGUGCCCGCCACCACACCCAGCUAAUUUUUUUGUAUUUUUAGUUGAGACGGGGUUUUACCAUAUUGGCCAGACUGGUCUGAACUCCUUAUCUCAGGUGAUCCACCUUAUCUCAGGCGCCCCCCGCGAUGCGGGGAGUGAGAGCCAGCCCCUCUUCCCUUGGGCCUCCCAAAGUGCUGGGACUACAGGCAUGAGCCACAAAGCCCAGCCCUUUCUUACUCUUCAUUACAUUGUUGAGUAUAGUAUUAACUAUCCUAUCAACUGACAUUUAUAUUGCCAUUUAAUCCAGUUUGAUAAUUUUUAUUUUUAAAAUGUGGCAUUUCUUGUCCAACAGGAAAAUAUCACAAUCCUAAAUAUAUAUGCACCUAACACUGGCGCUCCCAAAUUUAUAAAACAAUUACUACUAGACCUAAGAAAUGAUAUAUACAGCAACACAAUACUAGUGGGGGACUUUAAUACGCCACUGACAGCACUAGACAGAUCAUUAAGACAGAAAGCCAACAAAAAAACAAUGAAUUUAAACUAUGCCCUGGAACAAAUAGACUUAACAGAUAUAUACAGAACAUUUUACCCAACAACUGCAGAAUAUACGUUCAAUUCUUCAGCACAUGGAACUUUCUCCAGGAUAGACCACAUGAUAGAGCACAAAACAAGUCUCAAUAAAUUUAAGAAAACUGAAAUUAUGUUAAGCACUGUCUCAGACCACAGUGAAAUAAAACUGGAAAUCAGCUCCAAAAGGAACCUUUAAAACCACGCAAAUACAUGGAAAUUAAAUAACCUGCUCCUGAAUGAUCAUUGGGUCAACAAUGAAAUCAAGAUGAAAAUUAAAAAAUUAUUCAAGCUGAAUAACAAUAGUGACAUGACCUACAAAAACCUCUGGGAUACAGCAAAGGCGGUGCUAAGAGGAAAGUUCUUAGCCCUAUAUGCCUACAUCAGGAAGUCUGAAAGAGCACAAAUAGACAACCUAAGGUCACACCUCAAGGAACUAGAGAAACAAGAACCAAGCCCAAAGCCAGCAGAAGAAAGGAAAUAACCCAGAUCAGAGCAGAGCUAAAUGAAAUUGA